CAAUGAUCCAUACGGAUCCUUUAUAUCCCUUUUUACUCUCCUUCUUUCUCAAGCUUCGCCAUUCUACACAAACCCUAAAACCAAAGUUGUUCAUCAGGUUCUUUCGUUCAAUAAUCCUUCGUCGCCGCUUUCAUUCUUCGUUGUGGCGAUCAGAGGUUUGAUAAACGUUCAAUUCCCCACAAACCCUAAAACCAAAGACGCCAUUCAUCUUCAAUCGUUUUUCGUCGAUUCAAGUUUGAUAAACAAAGCUAUGUUCUAAAUUUCAUUCAUCUAUGUUUUUAUUGUUACUUUCAUUCCUUUUCAAUCAAGUAUUUGUAGAUAUUCAAUCAAAUCUUUGUUGAUUCCGAUGGUGACGUCGUCAAGAAGAUAAGUGCACCGGUGAGGAACUGUUUUGGAACGGACGGGAAUGUGUGAUUAAGGCAUAUCACUUUCUUGUGGAUCUAGGUCAAAAGGAUGAAAAAUCUCAGGGAAUGAUGUAAUAUUUUGGCUCAUAGAUAAAUAUGGCAUCAACGAUGUUAAUGAUGCUACUAAGUAUUACGAGAUAGUUGUUGAGCGUGGGUUCACAAGAGGACGGAGAACGGCACAAGUUGCAGUUGCUUGCCUUUAUGUCGUGUGUCAGUAAGUGAUUACUAAUAUUCCAGUUUUGGUUUUUUUUUUUUUUUUUGGUUUUAACAAGUGAUGAUAGCUUCUUGGUACAAAUCAAUCUAAUUAUAUAGAAGAUUACAAAUUGGAUCAACUGCCAUGAUUGGAAGUACGUUGGUAUGUAUGUAAUAAAACCAUUCUUUUUCCCGUUUCUUCAUAUAUCAGAGUAUAAGAUAUAUUGUAUUCUACUUAUUGAAGUUGUAAUAUUUUAAAGUUAUAUUCUGAGUUUAACUUGAAAAACGAACAGGUAAUCAAUCAGACCAGUUGCUUUGGUUUAUAACUUUGGUGUAAGGGGAAUUUAUGAAUGUAACUAUCAGUGUAAGCAUACAAUGGAAUUACGACACCUUUGGUAGAAAGAUAAGGCUGUUGGAGCCUUUUUUAGCUCCUAGCCUUCUACGAACUUGCAUCCUUUUGCCAUGAAAUGGGAUAUUAGUGGGGUGUUCGGUUUUAGGGUAUAUAUGUUACUGGAAGUUUUAUUACAAACCUGUUAAAUUUUGCCUGGAAAUUGGAACUUAGUGGAGUGCUUGAUUUUAAGUUUUUUAUACUGUUAAAAGUUUUAUCUGGUUGCAUUGGGUUAUUAGUAUGGUAGCAUUAAAUAUUAAUAAUCGAAGAGGCUGCACAUCACAUAAUCUUUGGGCAUAUCCUGCCAUAAGUUGGAAAACAACAUAGUUUGGCUUCUUUAAUUUUAUUCAGUGUAGUUUGUAAAAUAUCUUUCUUCACAUUGUAGUUGUUUUUCUGCUAAUUGCUAAACUAUCAAAUUGUGUGUUUUUAUAGCUGUCAUGGCUGCUUUAAUCACUUACCAUGUAAGUUUUGAUAACAGUGUUUUGUUAGCACAUCUUAUUCCUAAAUCAGCUAUUUGAUUUGGUGUAUCAGAGGUCUCUACUACACAUUGAAGUUUGAGCAUCUUAAUAUUAAAGGUUGCAACUACGGGCCUCCUUAUGAGUGGCAAGUAUACAUGUAUGUGUCAAACGCUAAUUGUUUCAAAAGAUGUUUUUAGGUUUUUAUUAUUUUAUAAGGUAAUUUGUGCACAUUUAUAAUGCAAAAAGUUCAAUGAAUGGAUGCUAUGUUAUUCCAUUGGUCCGCCACAAGGGCCGACAAGGUGAUUUCUACUCUGGUGAGUUUUGGCUUGUUCCUUUUCACUUCUAUGACCAGCUUAGUUUUUCUAUAGUGUAGCAUGAAAAAAAUCAUCUUUUUCAGACCAUGUCUUUGGGAUGUUUGGAGUUCAUAUCAAUUCUUGAAAAGCUUCACUCAAAGGGGUAAUAUAUAUUACAUACCUUACAUUUCAAAGCAUAAUUUAUAUGCUUAUACACCCAUAAGGAGCAGAAGGUUCAAACACAUCAGUAUACUACUAAAUUCGGGAUAGUUUAGUGGAUCUGUUCGUUUGAAAGGGCUUUGAUUACUGUUGUUGAGGGUUCAAAUUGCAUAUAGAUGCUACUUGGUAUUACUUCCGGUGAUUUUUUCAAUUGCAACCUCCGGCCAAGCUUUUUGGUUUGUUUUGUUUCUUUACUUUGUUCGUAAGGCUAAUGGUGAGCUUUUCUUCUCAUGUUCAUUUUUUAUUCAUGUUUGUUUUAUCUAUGUUUUGGUUUUGAUCAGGUUUGGAUCCCGAAGCAAGUGAUUAGCAAAUACAAAUUGCACUUCAUUCUUCUCGAUAUUCAGUUUGAAGACUGAUUUUCAUUUACUAAAGGGGAUGAAGGGAGCACAAGACUAGAUGUGGAAGAACAAACCAACAGCUAUAGAAGACAAUCAAUUGUACAUUUCAUUUUUUUGAACCUAUGAAGGUUGUGGCAUUACUUGACAGUACAUUUCUUUAUCAAGCCGGCUGUCAAAUGGCUGCUAGAAGAGUGGAUCUAUGUUUUGGUUUUGAUCAGGUUUGAAUCCCGAAGCAAGUUGAUUAACAAAUACAAAUUGCACUUCACUCUUCUCGAUAUUCAGGUGUAUGUCUUUCAAGUUUUAAAUUUGUUAUCAAGAAUCAGCUUUGAGAACAUCAUAUUUUACCAUUUCUUUUAACUUCUCUUCACUUUUUAUCCAAUUUUAAAUUCUUUUUAGAAAUAUUUAAAAUCCUUUUUAGAAAUAGUAUGAUUAAAUUUUAUCCGUAAUCAGUUUGUUUAUUUAGUUAGAUAUAGAUACAUAUGUGAUUUUACAUUUAAUCCAAUUAGUGGUUGUCUUAAGAUCCAUUAAAGUUUUAAGUGAUUUGUGGGUUUUUAGUGGUGUACCGGAAAUAGUAUAAUAGUGAUCUAAAGUUUACAACAAGAAAACGUUUACCAAACCGAAUUAAAAAUUUAUGGUGGAGAAAGGGGAAAGAUGAUACUUUAGAGGUUAAAAAUGUUAUUUUUAUACUUUUAUUUGUUCUAAAUUAAAUUUUCCUACCCGUAUCUGGCUGUCCGAGUUUGGCCCCUGGUCUUCAGCACUCCGAGGUUGGAUUACAAGUGUGGCAUGCUCACUGUGGCCCUCCGUGUUUGUUGGCUUUGGCUCCGGGUUUGUUGUAGAAUAAAGUUGGUUUCUUACAUCGUUUGGUUUUUGUAUUUGCUUCUUAUAUGACUAAUAUACCCUUCAUUCAAGGUUGCAUAAUAUACAUGGAAGAAAGUAGAAUAAAGUUGAUUUCUUACAUUGUUUGGUUUUUGUAUUUGCUUCUUAUAUGAUCUUGAUUUUUUACAACUAAUUAUGUGUUUCUUUUG